rnacentral:rRNA from 1 species
UACGGAGAGAGCUAGCGUUGUUCGGAAUUACUGGGCGUAAAGCGCACGUAGGCGGCUUUGUAAGUUAGAGGUGAAAGCCCGGGGCUCAACUCCGGAACUGCCUUUAAGACUGCAUCGCUUGAAUCCAGGAGAGGUGAGUGGAAUUCCGAGUGUAGAGGUGAAAUUCGUAGAUAUUCGGAAGAACACCAGUGGCGAAGGCGGCUCACUGGACUGGUAUUGACGCUGAGGUGCGAAAGCGUGGGGAGCAAACAGG